rfam:Alligator mississippiensis ScZkoYb_686, whole genome shotgun sequence.
GUCCAGAAGACAGUGAUGUAUUUUUCCAAGCACAUAUCGGAUUGCUCUAUGAGGAAAUCCAACCACUUCUGAGUUUUCUGGAC